GGCUCUAUGGUGUAAUGGUUAGCACUCUGGACUCUGAAUCCAGCGAUCGGAGUUCAAAUCUCGGUAGGACCU
rnacentral:tRNA from 1 species